GGUGAGUAACACGUGGGCAAUCUGCCCUUCACUCUGGGACAAGCCCUGGAAACGGGGUCUAAUACCGGAUAACACUCCUGCCUGCAUGGGUGGGGGUUGAAAGCUCCGGCGGUGAAGGAUGAGCCCGCGGCCUAUCAGCUUGUUGGUGGGGUAAUGGCCUACCAAGGCGACGACGGGUAGCCGGCCUGAGAGGGCGACCGGCCACACUGGGACUGAGACACGGCCCAGACUCCUACGGGAGGCAGCAGUGGGGAAUAUUGCACAAUGGGCGAAAGCCUGAUGCAGCGACGCCGCGUGAGGGAUGACGGCCUUCGGGUUGUAAACCUCUUUCAGCAGGGAAGAAGCGCAAGUGACGGUACCUGCAGAAGAAGCGCCGGCUAACUACGUGCCAGCAGCCGCGGUAAUACGUAGGGCGCAAGCGUUGUCCGGAAUUAUUGGGCGUAAAGAGCUCGUAGGCGGCUUGUCACGUCGGAUGUGAAAGCCCGGGGCUUAACCCCGGGUCUGCAUUCGAUACGGGCUAGCUAGAGUGUGGUAGGGGAGAUCGGAAUUCCUGGUGUAGCGGUGAAAUGCGCAGAUAUCAGGAGGAACACCGGUGGCGAAGGCGGAUCUCUGGGCCAUUACUGACGCUGAGGAGCGAAAGCGUGGGGAGCGAACAGGAUUAGAUACCCUGGUAGUCCACGCCGUAAACGUUGGGAACUAGGUGUUGGCGACAUUCCACGUCGUCGGUGCCGCAGCUAACGCAUUAAGUUCCCCGCCUGGGGAGUACGGCCGCAAGGCUAAAACUCAAAGGAAUU
rnacentral:rRNA from 1 species